UACGAAGGGGGCUAGCGUUGUUCGGAAUUACUGGGCGUAAAGCGCACGUAGGCGGACUAUUAAGUCAGGGGUGAAAUCCCGGGGCUUAACCCCGGAACUGCCUUUGAUACUGGUAGUCUUGAGUCCGGAAGAGGUGAGUGGAAUUCCGAGUGUAGAGGUGAAAUUCGUAGAUAUUCGGAGGAACACCAGUGGCGAAGGCGGCUCACUGGUCCGGUACUGACGCUGAGGUGCGAAAGCGUGGGGAGCAAACAGG
rnacentral:rRNA from 1 species